CUUGAACGCUGGCGGCAGGCUUAACACAUGCAAGUCGAGCGGAGAUGAGGUGCUUGCACCUUAUCUUAGCGGCGGACGGGUGAGUAAUGCUUAGGAAUCUGCCUAUUAGUGGGGGACAACAUUCCGAAAGGAAUGCUAAUACCGCAUACGUCCUACGGGAGAAAGCAGGGGAUCUUCGGACCUUGCGCUAAUAGAUGAGCCUAAGUCGGAUUAGCUAGUUGGUGGGGUAAAGGCCUACCAAGGCGACGAUCUGUAGCGGGUCUGAGAGGAUGAUCCGCCACAGUGGGACUGAGACACGGCCCAGACUCCUACGGGAGGCAGCAGUGGGGAAUAUUGGACAAUGGGGGGAGCCCUGAUCCAGCCAUGCCGCGUGUGUGAAGAAGGCCUUAUGGUUGUAAAGCACUUUAAGCGAGGAGGAGGCUACUGAGACUAAUACUCUUGGAUAGUGGACGUUACUCGCAGAAUAAGCACCGGCUAACUCUGUGCCAGCCGCCGCGGUAAAAC
rnacentral:rRNA from 1 species